rnacentral:rRNA from 1 species
UGGGGAAUUUUGCACAAUGGGGGGAACCUUGAUGCAGCGACGCCGCGUGAGGGAUGGAGGCCUUCGGGUUGUGAACCUCUUUCGCUCGUGUGCAAGCCGCUAUUUGGGUAGUGGUGAGUGUAGCGGGUAAAGAAGCGCCGGCUAACUACGUGCCAGCAGCCGCGGUAAUACGUAGGGCGCGAGCGUUGUCCGGAUUUAUUGGGCGUAAAGGGCUUGUAGGCGGUUGGUCGCGCCUGUCGUGUAAUCCUCUGGCUUAACUGGGGGUGUGCGGUGGGUACGGGCAGGCUUGAGUGCGGUAGGGGAGAUUGGAAUUCCUGGUGUAGCGGUGGAAUGCGCAGAUAUCUGGAGGAACACCGGUGGCGAAGGCGGGUCUCUGGGCCGUUACUGACGCUGAGGAGCGAAAGCGUGGGGAGCGAACAGG